CCUUGAUGACGACUGGCGCACGGGUGAGUAACGCGUAUCCAACCUUCCCAUAACUACGGGAUAACCCGUUGAAAGACGGCCUAAUACCGUAUGAUAUCGUUUGCUGACAUCAAAUAACGAUUAAAGGUUUAGCGGUUAUGGAUGGGGAUGCGUCUGAUUAGCUUGUUGGCGGGGUAACGGCCCACCAAGGCUACGAUCAGUAGGGGUUCUGAGAGGAAGGUCCCCCCACAUUGGAACUGAGACACGGUCCAAACUCCUACGGGAGGCAGCAGUU
rnacentral:rRNA from 1 species